UGGCGGACGGGUGAGUAACGCGUGAGCAACCUGUUUGUUAGUGGGGAAUAACGUUUGGAAACGAACGCUAAUACCGCAUAAAACACAGACAACGCAUGUUGACUGUGUCAAAGAUAUAUUGCUGACAGAUGGGCUCGCGUCCGAUUAGGCAGUUGGUGAGGUAACGGCUCACCAAACCGACGAUCGGUAGCCGGACUGAGAGGUUGAACGGCCACAUUGGAACUGAGAAACGGUCCAGACUCCUACGGGAGGCAGCAGUGGGGAAUAUUGGGCAAUGGGCGAAAGCCUGACCCAGCGACGCCGCGUGAGGGAAGACGGUCUUCGGAUUGUAAACCUCUUUCAGCAGGGAAGACAAAAGGACGGUACCUGCAGAAGAAGCCACGGCUAACUACGUGCCAGCAGCCGCGGUAAUACGUAGGUGGCAAGCGUUAUCCGGAAUUACUGGGUGUAAAGGGUGUGUAGGCGGGACUGCAAGUUCAGAUGUGAAAAUCAUGGGCUCACCCAUGACCUGCGUCUGAAACUGUGGGUUCUUGAGAGUGGGAGAGGUAGAUGGAAUUCCCGGUGUA
rnacentral:rRNA from 1 species